rnacentral:rRNA from 1 species
UACGUAGGGGGCAAGCGUUGUCCGGAUUUAUUGGGCGUAAAGCGCGUGUAGGCGGCCACACAGGUCCGCUGUGAAAACUCGAGGCUCAACCUCGAGCUGUCGGUGGAAACCGUGUGGCUAGAGUCCGGAAGAGGAGACUGGAAUUCCCGGUGUAGCGGUGGAAUGCGCAGAUAUCGGGAGGAACACCGGUGGCGAAGGCGGCACUCUGGGCCGGUACUGACGCUGAGGAGCGAAAGCGUGGGGAGCAAACAGG